rnacentral:lncRNA from 1 species
CAUUUCUUCAUAUAUUUUGUUCAAAACUUUCUUAGUUGUCUUAAGCUGAGAAGGAAAAUCUGGUCCCACAUGGAUACAAUUCAGUUCACAAGAGCAGUGAUCCCCAGAUUUUCUCAACAAUGUAUCCCAUUUCCUGAAACACUUCACCACUGAUCUCCUUUUUACAAGAAGAAAAUUUUGGUGGACCGUUACCCAGCAAGGAAAGGACGUUUGGCUAUUAAGAUAGAGCUGGGAUGCUGCAGGAGUGUUAACAUCUCUCUAAUUAUGCCCUCAAAGAAAAACCUUCAGGAAUACCUGCUUCACUUCUGCUGCGGUUGCUGA